UACGGAAGGCAGCAGUGGGGAAUAUUGCACAAUGGGCGCAAGCCUGAUGCAGCCAUGCCGCGUGUAUGAAGAAGGCCUUCGGGUUGUAAAGUACUUUCAGCGGGGAGGAAGGCGAUGCGGUUAAUAACCGCGUCGAUUGACGUUACCCGCAGAAGAAGCACCGGCUAACUCCGUGCCAGCAGCCGCGGUAAUACGGAGGGUGCAAGCGUUAAUCGGAAUUACUGGGCGUAAAGCGCACGCAGGCGGUCUGUUAAGUCAGAUGUGAAAUCCCCGGGCUUAACCUGGGAACUGCAUUUUGAAACUGGCAGGCUUGAGUCUUGUAGAGGGGGUAGAAUUCCAGGUGUAGCGGUGAAAUGCGUAGAGAUCUGGAGGAAUACCGGUGGCGAAGGCGGCCCCUGGACAAAGACUGACGCUCAGGUGCGAAAGCGUGGGGAGCGAAACAGGAUUAGAUACC
rnacentral:rRNA from 1 species